rnacentral:rRNA from 1 species
CUUGUCUCCUAAAUAGAGACCAGUAUGAAUGGCCCCAUGAGAAAGUAACUGUCUCUUGAAGAUAGCCAAUGAAACUGAUCUGCCUGUGCAAAAGCAGGUAUAAUGAAACAAGACAAAAAGACCCUGUGAAACUUUAAAUUNAACGCCAACUACANUGGCACUACUUUUAGGUUGGGGCAACCAAAGANGAAACAAAACCUCUUNUUAAGGCACAGACUAACAAGUCCAACCAUNNNNAAAUUUGAUCCAGUAAAACUGAUUAAUGAACCAAGCUACUCCAGGGAUAACAGCGCUAAAUUCUUGAAGAGUUCACAUCAACAAGAAUACUUACGACCUCGAUGUUGGAUCAGGAUAACCAAGCGGUGCAAAAGCCACUAAAGGUUCGUUUGUUCAANCNAUUAAUAUCCU